rnacentral:tRNA from 1 species
GCAUUGGUGGGUCAGUGGUAGAAUUCUUGCCUUUCGUGUGGAAGACCUGGGUUCAAUUCCUGACCGAUGCA